rnacentral:rRNA from 1 species
AACGUAGGAGGCGAGCGUUAUCCGGAUUUACUGGGCGUAAAGCGCGUGUAGGCGGCUCGAAAAGUUGGAUGUGAAAGCUCCUGGCUUAACUGGGAGAGGUCGUUCAAGACUUUCGGGCUAGAGGUCAUGAGAGGGAAGUGGAAUUCCGGGUGUAGUGGUGAAAUGCGUAGAUAUCCGGAGGAACACCAGUGGCGAAAGCGGCUUCCUGGCAUGAAACUGACGCUCAGACGCGAAAGCUAGGGUAG